GACGGAGGGUGCGAGCGUUAUUCGGAAUUAUUGGGCGUAAAGGGUGUGUAGGCGGCCGGUCAAGUCAGAUGUGAAAGCCCAGGGCUUAACCCUGGAAGUGCAUUUGAUACUGUUCGGCUUGAGUUCGGGAGAGGAAAGCGGAAUUCCGGGUGUAGAGGUGAAAUUCGUAGAUAUCCGGAGGAACACCGGUGGCGAAGGCGGCUUUCUGGACCGAAACUGACGCUGAGACACGAAAGCGUGGGGAGCAAACAGG
rnacentral:rRNA from 1 species